rnacentral:rRNA from 1 species
AGAGUUUGAUCAUGGCUCAGGACGAACGCUGGCGGCGUGCUUAACACAUGCAAGUCGAACGAUGAAGAAGAGCUUGCUCUUUGGAUUAGUGGCGAACGGGUGAGUAACACGUGAGCAAUCUGCCCUUGACUCUGGGAUAAGCGUUGGAAACGACGUCUAAUACCGGAUACGACCCUCGGAGGCAUCUCCUGGGGGUGGAAAGAAUUUUGGUCAAGGAUGAGCUCGCGGCCUAUCAGCUAGUUGGUGAGGUAAUGGCUCACCAAGGCGACGACGGGUAGCCGGCCUGAGAGGGUGACCGGCCACACUGGGACUGAGACACGGCCCAGACUCCUACGGGAGGCAGCAGUGGGGAAUAUUGCACAAUGGGCGAAAGCCUGAUGCAGCAACGCCGCGUGAGGGACGACGGCCUUCGGGUUGUAAACCUCUUUUAGUAGGGAAGAAGCGAAAGUGACGGUACCUGCAGAAAAAGCACCGGCUAACUACGUGCCAGCAGCCGCGGUA